GGCGUAAAGCGCAUGCAGGUGGUUGGAUAAGUUAGAUAUGAAAGCCCCGGGCUCAACCUGGGAAUUGCAUUCAAAACUGUCCAGCUAGAGUCCUGUAGAGGGGGGUAGAAUUUC
rnacentral:rRNA from 1 species